AGUGAACGCUGGCGGUAGGCCUAACACAUGCAAGUCGAACGGCAGCACAGUAAGAGCUUGCUCUUACGGGUGGCGAGUGGCGGACGGGUGAGGAAUACAUCGGAAUCUACUUUUUCGUGGGGGAUAACGUAGGGAAACUUACGCUAAUACCUCAUACGACCUACGGGUGAAAGCAGGGGAUCUUCGGACCUUGCGCGAUUGAAUGAGCCGAUGUCGGAUUAGCUAGUUGGCGGGGUAAAGGCCCACCAAGGCGACGAUCCGUAGCUGGUCUGAGAGGAUGAUCAGCCACAAUGGAAAUGAGACAAGGUCCAGACUCCUACGGGAGGCAGCAGUGGGGAAUAUUGGACAAUGGGCGCAAGCCUGAUCCAGCCAUACCGCGUGGGUGAAGAAGGCCUUCGGGUUGUAAAGCCCUUUUGUUGGGAAAGAAAAGCAGCAGGUUAAUACCCCGCUGUUCUGACGGUACCCAAAGAAUAAGCACCGGCUAACUUCGUGC
rnacentral:rRNA from 1 species